CCUACGGGUGGCAGCAGUCGAGAAUCAUUCACAAUGGGGGAAACCCUGAUGGUGCGACGCCGCGUGGGGGAAUGAAGGUCUUCGGAUUGUAAACCCCUGUCAUGUGGGAGCAAAUUAAAAAGAUCGUACCACACGAGGAAGAGACGGCUAACUCUGUGCCAGCAGCCGCGGUAAUACAGAGGUCUCAAGCGUUGUUCGGAAUCACUGGGCGUAAAGCGUGCGUAGGCUGUUUCGUAAGUCGUGUGUGAAAGGCGCGGGCUCAACCCGCGGACGGCACAUGAUACUGCGAGACUAGAGUAAUGGAGGGGGAACCGGAAUUCUCGGUGUAGCAGUGAAAUGCGUAGAUAUCGAGAGGAACACUCGUGGCGAAGGCGGGUUCCUGGACAUUAACUGACGCUGAGGCACGAAGGCCAGGGGAGCGAAAGGGAUUAGAUACCCGAGUAGUC
rnacentral:rRNA from 1 species